rnacentral:rRNA from 1 species
GAUGAACGCUGGCGGCGUGCCUAAUACAUGCAAGUCGAGCGAACGGACGAGAAGCUUGCUUCUCUGAUGUUAGCGGCGGACGGGUGAGUAACACGUGGAUAACCUACCUAUAAGACUGGGAUAACUUCGGGAAACCGGAGCUAAUACCGGAUAAUAUUUUGAACCGCAUGGUUCAAAAGUGAAAGACGGUCUUGCUGUCACUUAUAGAUGGAUCCGCGCUGCAUUAGCUAGUUGGUAAGGUAACGGCUUACCAAGGCAACGAUGCAUAGCCGACCUGAGAGGGGGAUCGCCCACACGGAAACUGAGACCGGCCCCAGACUCCUAGGGGAGGAGACAGGGGGGAAUCUUCCGCAAGGGGCGAAAGCCGGACGGAGCAACCCCGGGUGAGUGAUGAAGGUCUUCGGAUCGAAAACCUCUUUUAUGGGGAAAAAAAAUAUUUGAAAGAAACUGUCCAAAUCUUGACGGAACCUAAUAAAAAAGCCCCGGCAAACUACGUG